AUUGAACGCUGGCGGCGUGCUUAACACAUGCAAGUCGAGCGGUAACAGGCGUAGCAAUACGUGCUGACGAGCGGCGAACGGGUGCGUAAUACAUCGGAAUCUGCCUAGUAGUGGGGAAUAACCCGGCGAAAGCCGGGCUAAUGCCGCAUACGAUCCACGGAUGAAAGCGGGGGACUUUCGGCCUCGCGCUAUUAGAUGAGCCGAUGUCGGAUUAGCUAGUUGG
rnacentral:rRNA from 1 species